rnacentral:tRNA from 1 species
CAUACAGUAGCUUAAAUAAAAGCAUUAAACUUUUAAUUUAAAGAUAAGUGAGACUUUUGUGUGA